UACAGAGGGGGCAAGCGUUAUUCGGAAUUAUUGGGCGUAAAGGGCGCGUAGGCGGACCUGCAAGUCGGGGGUGAAAGCCCGAGGCUCAACCUCGGAACUGCCUUCGAUACUGCGGGUCUCGAGUCCGGGAGAGGUGAGUGGAAUUCCUAGUUGUAGAGGUGAAAUGCGCAGAUAUCGGGAGGAACACCUAUGGCGAAGGCAGCUCGCUGGGACGUUACUGACGCUGAGACGCGAAAGCGUGGGGAGCAAACAGG
rnacentral:rRNA from 1 species